GCGGAAGGUUGCCCGGGCUGGCGCCGCUGGGCAGAGCCGGUGCGACGUUUCCCUUUCCAGCUUUGUUCUUCCGGCCCUGCUGUCUGCCUCCCCGGCUGAUUGGAUUCGUUACUGCUUUGCAACGCGCACCUAACUCCAGACGGGGUCUCACUCUGUCGCCCAGGCUGGAGUGCAGUGGCACAAUCUCAGCUUGCUGUGACCUCAGCUCUCUGCGACCUCUGCUUGCUGGACUCAAGCGAUCCUCCCACCACCUCAGCCUCCUGAGUAGCUGGAACCAUCAUAUGCACCAGCACGCCUGGCUAAAGUUUUGCUCUUGUCACCCAGGCUGGAAUGCAAUAGCGUGGUCUUGGCUCACUGCAACCUCCGCCUCCCGGGUUCAAGCAAUUCUCCUGCCUCAGCCUCCUAAGUAGCUGGGACUACAGCAGCAGGUAGUCCCUGAGGAGCGGGGGCAGUGGCAGCCGGGUGGCACCCUGCCGGCAGCGGCUUCCCAACCGAGCGCGCACAGCUAGUCGGGCCAGGUGCUGCAGCUGCCUUGGCUGGUUCACCAUGCACAGGGCCGAGCUGUAGAAGGCUUCGUGCUCCUAGGCCAGGAGUGAAAGAAGGUCAGAUGACCCUUGCCCUACCAUCUGGGGGCAACCCAGCGGUGGGGGUCCUGGGAUUUUGCAGCAUGCACCCACCUGGGUGUUUCAUGUGUCUCAAAGGACUCAGAUUCAGAACCAUAGAGGCCCUGCAGUGAUAAUGCGGGCUGGGGCUCCACUUCAGGGAAGGGUCUCCACUAUGUCUAUACCACUCCCACCCCAGAGAGCCUAGCACAGUGCCCACCAAGUUAAGAGAUGCCAGAUAAAUGUCUGUGCUGAUGCAAGUGAGGGAGGCAGGAGAGGUGUGUGGAGUUAGGGGUCAGCCUGGGGUACCGGGGGAGGGGGUACCCUGAAACCCAGGGGUGCCACUCUACCCAUCCUCUCUACCCAGGGGCCCUCCUGCUGCUCCCUCCAUGAGGCUGGUCCUGAAGGAAUAGGCCUGUGGCUCGUCCCUCCUCCCCAUCUCGGCCCUGAGGCAAACAUACCUUCCACAGCUCUGGGAGCACCGCCUCCACCCAGGUCUCACAGGAUGGGACACAAGGAUAGGCAUUAAGCAGGACUUCCAGGGCCCGAGGGAAGUUGGCGCAGUGUUUCAGCAUCUAGGGGUCAAAAGAGGGUCUUGGGCACAUGCCUCCCCCACCCGAGGGCAGACCCAAGUCUUGCCUCACCCACAUGGCCAAUCCUAGCCUAAUCUGGGGGGCUAAGGUCUGAGUCUCUCUUCCCUUUUUUGUGCCUCUGUCUACCCCACCCUCAAGUAUGCUCCAACCUUUUGGCCCCAGUUUUCCUCUGGGGCUCUUCCCUCCCUUGGACUCUCUCUCCCAGAAUCCUCUCUCCCCCUCCCAAGCUGGGGACAGCCCCCUGGCCACUGAGGGCAGGCUUUCAGUCUCUUGGACCCUCUGUCUUCCCCAGAAGCGGAGCAGUUCCAGCCGCGGGCUCCCCCACACAGGAGCCUCCUAUGUCAGGGCCUCCCAGCGCACCUCAGGGCGCACUGGCUGCGCCCCGUAGUCCAGCAGUGCGGCGAAAAGGACUUCAGGCUCCCAGUUGGGGGAGUCCUGGACGGCCUGCAGCGCACAGUCCAUGGGCGUGUGGCCCGCCCCAUUGGGGACCUCAGCGCGGGCCCCGUAACGCAGCAGCAGCUCGGCCAGGCCCCCGCAGCCGUUGGCACAAGCGUUGUGCAGCGGCGUGUGGCGCUUGCGCCCGGCCGCCCGGGCAUCAGCUCCAGCCUCCAGGAGCCGGCGCGCCGCAGCCUGGUGUCGCCUGCAGCUACCUGGGCCCUCGGCCCCAGCGCACGCCGUGUUCAGCGCAGUCUCGCCCUGGCUGGUGCGCAGGCCCACGUCGGCGCCAUGCUCCAGGUACAGAGCCACAUGUUGCUCCAGGCCGCGCGCCGCCGCCACGUGCAGGGGCGUCUCCUGGCUCUCGCCUGCUGCCAGGUUCACCGUCGCUCCUGCUUCCAGCAGCAACUUGGCGCACCUGGGGACAAGAGAGCAAGGUCCUGAGGAAAAUCCUGAAGGCUUGGGACCCCUUCAGCUUGCUGUGACACUCCCUUGCCUUUCCACCCCUCUCAGCUUGAGGUCCUACCUGGUGUCCUCCAUGAGAAUCAUACAAGCCCCGCUACAGACAACAGAAUUGGAAGGUCCUGAGAGCUACCAGAAGCAUCUUCAGUUUUCAUAUGAAAAACUUAAGCCCAGGAGUGAUUUGUGCAGCCAAGGACACACAGCAAGUUAGUGGCUGCACCAGAAAUAGUACUCACUGCCUCAGACAGUCCCUCCCACAGUCUACUCUGUCUCCACCCCAAGGUCUGGUUCUGAAUCAUUCAGUUGUCAGUUGUCUCCUUUUUUUUUUUUUUUUUUGGAGACAGGGUCUCUCUCUGUGGCCCAGGCUGAAGUGCAGUGGUGUGAUUACAGCUCAUGUAGCCUGGACCUCCCAAGCUCAAGCAAUCCUCCUGCCUCUGCCUCCCAAGUAGCUGGGACCACAGGUGGGCAGCACCACACCUGGCUAAUUUUUUAAAUUUUUUUUUAUAGAGACAGGGUCUUACCAUUUGCCCCAGCUGGUCUCAAACCCCUGGGCUCAAGCAAGCCUCCUGCCUUGGCCUCCCAAAGUGCUGGGAUUACAGGUGUGAGCCACCACACCCGGCCUUAUCUCCUAACAUUUUGAUAGCACAAAAUUUUGAAAACCCACUUCUGUGUACGUUAUGAAGCAUAGAAAAUUAAACAGUAUGCACCAAAAAAAAAUAAAUACAAGUUAUAAUAUUUUCUUUCUGUCCCCACACUUAAAAGACCACUCUUCUAAACCAGGCCACAAUCAUUCAAGCAAAGGCAGGCACUUGGGGCCAUCCUCCUCCACUUUCCCCUAGGGAAAACAAACAAAACCAAAGGAAAAACAAAAACAAAAACAGGUUUUAAAGAGUGCAUGUUUCCCAGUUCCAGGGAAAAUUAUAGGCCAGAACACUGUUGUGGCAAACAUGCAUCCUUACAUACUGCAGGGUAAACCAAACAUGCAACAAACUAAAUUAAUAAUGAUGAAACCAAACUAACAGUAACUUAUAAUUAAAAAGCCAGAACGGCAGCUGCUGGAAACAGGAGCAGAUCCACCAUCCUCGAUGAAACUCUGAUAAUCAAAUACCCUUUCCCAAAAUGGCCAAAAUCCUUGCUCACAUAUUCCAGGUAGGUUCUUUGCUCUGUAGCCAAGAUGUGAGUAGCAGCCAGUCUUCCAUAAGCUACUGAAUUAUCUCCUUGGUAAAUUCUAAUUGUGGGGCU
rnacentral:lncRNA from 1 species